rnacentral:misc_RNA from 1 species
GUUGGCAUGAGCCWUGCUCGGCCGAUCUUUGGUUUUCCUGUGCUGAAUACCUAUCGUGAAGGCAUUCCGUUGGCUASAAAUGUCCCUUUCCCGCCUUGUGCUGCUGCCCCCCGYGGGCAAGCGGUGCGGGGUGGGCCAAAUUGCGCACGUCGUGUAUCGCACCGCGUUCGACCUCUCGGGGCGUUCGGGUUGACGACCCAUGACGUGAUGCUCGGUCCCUCGGAUACGGAAAAUCAUGUGGGUACGAGGCCAUYGGCCUCCGAGCUCCACAAAUAAGCGUUCUACGCUUCGUGCGAACGACUGUCGUCCCGGUCUUUGGCCGUGCU